CUUUACUGUAGCUUUGCAUUGGACUUUGAAUCGGUCUGUGUAGGAUAGGUGGGAGGCUGUGAAACCGGAACGCCAGUUUCGGUGGAGCCAACCUUGAAAUACCACCCUGAUUUAUUUGAGGUUCUAACCUUGAUCCGUGAAUCCGGAUCGGGGACCGUGCAUGGUGGGCAGUUUGACUGGGGCGGUCUCCUCCCAAAAGGUAACGGAGGAGUACGAAGGUACGCUUAGGGCGGUCGGACAUCGCCCAUAAAGUGCAAUGGCAAAAGCGUGCUUGACUGCGAGACCCACAAGUCGAGCAGGUGCGAAAGCAGGUCAUAGUGAUCCGGUGGUUCUGUAUGGAAGGGCCAUCGCUCAACGGAUAAAAGGUA
rnacentral:rRNA from 1 species